rnacentral:rRNA from 1 species
CUAAGAAUCUUCCGCAAUGGACGCAAGUCUGACGGAGCGACGCCGCGUGGGCGAGGAAGGCCGAAAGGUUGUAAAGCCCUUUUCUGCGUGAGGAAUAAGCUUAGGAGGGAAUGCCUGAGUGAUGACGGUAGCGCAGGAAUAAGCCCCGGCCAAUUACGUGCCAGCAGCCGCGGUAACACGUAUGGGGCGAGCGUUGUUCGGAAUUAUUGGGCGUAAAGGGCGCGCAGGCGGUCAUGCAAGCUUGGUGUGAAAGACCACGGCUCAACGGUGGAAACGCGCUGAGAACUGCAUGACUUGAGUUUUAGAGGGGGAACUGGAAUUCCUGGUGUAGGGGUGAAAUCUGUAGAUAUCAGGAAGAACAUCAGUGGCGAAGGCGAGUUCCUGGCUAUGAACUGACGCUGAGGCGCGAAAGCGUGGGGAGCGAACAGGAUUAGAUACCCCCGUAGUCC